GACGAACGCUGGCGGCGUGCCUAACACAUGCAAGUCGAACGGAAAGGCCCUGCUUUUGUGGGGUGCUCGAGUGGCGAACGGGGGAGUAACACAUGAGUAACCUGCCCUUGACUUUGGGGUAAAUUCAGGAAAAUGGGGCUAAUAUCGGAUAGGAGCUCCUGCUGCACGGUGGGGGUUGGAAAGUUUCGGCGGUUGGGGAUGGACUCGCGGCUUAUCAGCCUGUUGGUGGGGUAGUGGCUUACCAAGGCUUUGACGGGUAGCCGGCCUGAGAGGGUGACCGGCCACAUUGGGACUGAGAUACGGCCCAGACUCCUACGGGAGGCAGCAGUGGGGAAUAUUGCACAAUGGGCGGAAGCCUGAUGCAGCAACGCCGCGUGCGGGAUGACGGCCUUCGGGUUGUAAACCGCUUUCGCCUGUGACGAAGCGUGAGUGACGGUAAUGGGUAAAGAAGCACCGGCUAACUACGUG
rnacentral:rRNA from 1 species